rnacentral:lncRNA from 1 species
GGGGCUGGCACGGCGCUGGGGGCUGCUGAGCUGGAAGUUACGGACAGCACUGGAACAUCGUGCCCCGAUACAAAAACUGGGGACCCCCGGGGAUGUGUCCCUGCCUGGGGAGGAGCCGCUGUUCUCCUGGCAGCGAGGGGCCCGUGAAUCACAGCCUCUUCCCAGAGGAUGAGAGGGCUUCGCUCGCCAGAAGGGAGCGGGUUAAUCACCCCCAGGAGGAAAAGCGCAGAGCGGUGGGAAUUGUGGUGCCCCGCUGCCGCCGAGCACCUGCAGAGACUAAAAGGAGUGCCAAGCAGGCUGUGUGGAACACCGGGAUCUUUGGAAAUCCGGGUCUCUCUAAUGAAAAGGAGGGACUUUCGCACCCAGGAGCACUACAAAAA